AGUGAACGCUGGCGGCGUGCUUAACACAUGCAAGUCGAACGAGAACGGAUUUAAGUUUACUUAAAUUGUCAGCUAAGUGGCGCACGGGUGAGUAAUAUAUAGGUAAUGUGCCCUAGAGAAGAGGAUAACAGUUGGAAACGACUGCUAAGACUCUAUAUGCCUUUAAGACAGAAGUCUGCAAGGGAAAUAUUAAUAGCUCUAGGAUCGGCCUGUACAGUAUCAGUUAGUUGGUGAGGUAAUGGCUCACCAAGACAAUGACGCUUAACUGGUUUGAGAGGAUGAUCAGUCACACUGGAACUGAGACACGGUCCAGACUCCUACGGGAGGCAGCAGUGGGGAAUAUUGCACAAUGGAGGGAACUCUGAUGCAGCAACGCCGCGUGGAGGAUGACACAUUUCGGUGCGUAAACUCCUUUUAUAUAGGAAGAUAAUGACGGUACUAUAUGAAUAAGCGCCGGCUAACUCCG
rnacentral:rRNA from 1 species